UACGUAGGGGGCAAGCGUUGUCCGGAAUCAUUGGGCGUAAAGCGCGUGUAGGCGGCCCGAUAAGUCCGCUGUGAAAGUCCAGGGCUCAACCCUGGGAUGCCGGUGGAUACUGUCGGGCUCGAGUCCGGAAGAGGCGAGUGGAAUUCCUGGUGUAGCGGUGAAAUGCGCAGAUAUCAGGAGGAACACCGGUGGCGAAGGCGGAUCUCUGGGCCUUACCUGACGCUCAGGUGCGAAAGCUAGGGGAGCGAACAGG
rnacentral:rRNA from 1 species